UACGGAGGGUGCAAGCGUUGCUCGGAAUUAUUGGGCGUAAAGGGUAGGUAGGUGGUCUCAUUUGUCUGAGGUGAAAGCCUUGGGCUUAACCUAAGAAGUGCCUCAGAAACGGUGAGACUAGAGUCCUGGAGAGGGUCGUGGAAUUCCCGGUGUAGCGGUGAAAUGCGUAGAGAUCGGGAGGAACACCAGAGGCGAAGGCGGCGACCUGGACAGGUACUGACACUCAACUACGAAAGCGUGGGGAGCAAACAGG
rnacentral:rRNA from 1 species